AGAAUGUGUUGUAUAUUUCUUAUUGCUUACACCACUAUAUAUAGUUGUUCAUACAAGGUGGAGUCAAAUGGAUAAUUGAUUACAAAGAUACUCUACAUAAUGACAUGGUCAAACUCAUAAAGACAUAAGGUUGAAUGAGUCUUCCAUGUGGCAGGAUGUAAACCCCCAAUGGACUCUAGUCUUGAACUUGUAUGGUCUAGGUUAUGGACUAUCCACUUCAUGAUUCAUAACACUCCCCCUUGGAUGCCAUAACCAUAUAGGGUUUGUAACAUAGUAAUGUUGCCUCAUUAAAACCUCUCUUGGAAAACCCAAAACCCAAUGCGGUAAAAAUGGAAACCAGAGAAAGGAAAAAGAGUACAACACACAUUACUCCCCCUGAUUUGGACAUCACUGAAGGUCCUUGAGUCUACGCGUGCCAAUCUUGUUGCGUGAACUUCCUGAAUGUGCUAGAGGGCAAUGAUUUGGUGAAGAGGUCGGCUGAGUUUUCACUAGACCGGAUCUGAAGGACGUUGACCUCUCCAGCUUUCUGCAACUCAUGGGUAAAGAAGAACUUGGGUAGAAUAUGUUUGGUUCGGUCACCUUUGAUAUACCCGUCUUUGAGUUGAGCAAUGUAAGCUGCAUUAUCUUCAUAUAUGAUGGUCGGACCCGUUGGGUCGCAUAUGGACACAUAUUAUGGUCCUAUACCUUUUGUUCAAAGAUGAACUUCGAUCUUAUAGCUUAUCUUUAUGAUAGUUUAUUCAUUCAUACCACAGCUUGGUUGGUUCAUGCUGAGAAUUCGACCAACCAUAAGUAUUACCAAAAUUUGGCUAAUUUAUGGUGAUGGUCUAUAACCUUUUCUAAGGUUUAAUGAAUAACCAUUUAACUUAUCUUAGGCUGGUUAGUAUAAAACACAAGGAAUUUAAAAUUCCUCUAUGGACUGAUUUGAAUUGUUCUUAUAGAACACUUCACUUGCUUAUAUGUAGUAAUUUAAUUUAGUCUAUGAACAGCUUUAGGAAAAUGUUGUUCAAUAGAACUUCUUUUCUCAUCUUUUGAUUCUGAGCUCAAUACCGUUUGGUAAACCUUUUGGUACCAAUAAUAUUAUCAUCAUAAUCCAGUGAGUCAUAUAUAGCAUACUACAUCUUUUGAAUUUCUUCCAGACAUCAUAUGUAGUGAAAUAUGUAGUAGUAUCCACCACAUUGGAUUAUAUAGACCUUUCCCGGUCUGUCUCACGAUUUAUCCUUCUUUCAGGAUUUAUAUAUUCACUGGGCAUCAUAUGGCGUUUACAUAUUCAUGGCCAAUACAAUACGCCUUUUAUAUAUCACUUUAAACCCCACGUUUCUUUCAUUAUUCAUUAUGAGUACUCUUGUGUGGGUUUAUGAUCCUCGAUACAUAUCUUUGUAUUCAUGUGCUACAUACUUGCGCAUUUUCUAUGAAUGUAUGUGUCGACACACUUAUAUAUAUAUGUAGUUCCUUUUAGUUCCAGACAUGGUAUAAAUCAAUUUGAGAUUUCAUUAUCUAGGACCUUAAUAACCUUAUAACUUGGCGUCCCAAGCUAUAUGGUAUGGUACCUAGUUGUUCAGCUGGCCAGCCUUAUAUCUCAAUGUCUGGAAUGGUUUCCUUUAAUAAAACUUGGAUUUUAUCUCAUGCACCUUUCUUUCUUUCCGAGGUUCCUUAGAAUUUAUGGAACUUUAUUUGGAACAUUUAUUUGGUCUAUCUUAUAUAGACUUUGUAGCAACUUGGUUGUGUCUUUAAGACAUCAAAGCCGUGUGGUGCUAAGCUGGGAUGACAUAGUCAUUCUUUCUCUCGGGUCAAUGUGUCUGGCGUUUUAUUUUGCUAUCAUUGUAGCAUAUGGACGUCUAUAAAUUAUUUUCUAGUCCGAGGAUCUUUGCCAAGACAUUGAUGGUUGAUACCAGAUGGUAGAUACCAUUCUUUAUCAUUCUUUAUACCAGCUUAUUACUUUUCUCUUUUCAUUGUUGGAUAUUCGGAUUCAUAAACCUUAUGUAAUCCUUGUUCCUUGGCCUAUAAUUAGAUCACCCAUUUUGGCUCAAGGUUUCUUUUAAACUUAUGGAGAAAGUAUAUUCAUAAUAUAUAUCCAACAUAUUUUCCCAAUCCUCUUUAUGAGAUUCUAAGAUCACAUGAUCUUAGAUGGCACAUAUAUUUGUGGUGGAUUCUUUCAUAAUAUCUUGAGAUGAUAUAUGCAUGGACUCAUGACCCGUAUCAGUCCGAGGUGAGAAUAUCUAUGAUCACUUAUAUGGCCUGAUAUAAUUAUUAUGGCCUGAUGCAGGUUCAUUCUUUUAUAACUCAUGGUGUCCCCAACAUAUGGACUUUUAGAAUUUGAACCUUAUAUGUAAUGGUCUUUAUAUCAAAUUCAACCAAUAUGUAAUAUGGUUGUGGACCAUGUUUCACAGAUUUUAGUAUGGUCAUGUAUCACGGGAUUUGUCUUCACUCCCAUGAACAUACUCUAAUUCGUGGUGCUUGGGACAAUAAAUUCCCUUGUGCAUAGAUAUAUUGCACACACGUGAGAUCUUAUGGAAUAACAUUUGUGCCCUUUUAAAUAUUUGCAUCAUAAUCCGAAUGACUAAGUAUGGUAAUGCCAUCUAAGUGAUAAAUUUCGUGGGUUAAUCAAACAUGAUUGCCCUGGCUAUUUCCCUAAUAUCAUAUUGAUCACUAGAUCAAUAGAGAAUGUAGUCUCGACCACUUAGGCGAUUUUAAUUUAGGUACUCUUAUUCCCUUUUGUCCAUUGUUAGAAACCAUUUUCUCUACUUAAUUCAAUGGACCUUAUAGGGUUGCCAUUUAGACAAAGCCUUGGUCGAGCUUCUUUUCCUUUCUUUCAAGGAAUGUCCAGUUUAGUUCAAGAGUAUUUUAUAACUGAGCCUGGAUGGCAGAGCAUGUCGUGCCAUUUGUCAAAGGCUUCUUUGAACUCUUUGGAAAAGUGAGUUGGGGUAUUAAUCCUCAAUUAUAUUUAUCUUGGCACAAUAAAAGCAUAUAAAUAUAGUUUCUUAUCAAACAACAGUUUGAAUAAGAUAAUGAUCAUGAACUCAAAGCAAUUCAUUUUAUUAAUGAAGUCGUGUAUAAAGCAAAGUAUCAAAGCAAUUCAUGAAACAUAAACUCAGGAAACAUGAAAAUGAGAAUGUCAAAAGACAAUUAUAUAAUAUGGCCUUCACAAUGCAUGUGUUGCCAUAUGGCGCUCAACUUCAGCUUCAUCAGCUAUAGGAGGCCUCAUCUCAUUAUUCUUUAGCUCAAUGUAUCUUUUCUGAAGCUUGUCAAAUCUGUUGAUGGUAUCUUUGAUUUUCUGCUUUCUUUGUUCAGAAGCCAAAAGAUAUGACAAAAGGUCAUUAUAAGUGGUGAACUUCUUAGCCGUGUGUAGCAACAGCACAUACUUUGGAUGGAAUGUGGAGUAGGUCUUAUAUAAUAAAGAAUAAUGUGUUAUCCUUUCACCACAUAGUUCAAGAAUAUAAGCAAUAUCCAUCAGAAUUAUAUUUGUCCACGGAUUCAAAAUCCUGGAAUGUGAGGAUCUCCCAUUCAUGGUUGGCCUUUUGCCACGAUACCGGUUUGAACCUUUUCCUUAACUGUAACCAAAGAUCACAAGGAUCCUCAACAUGGAGAUACAGGUCUCUUAGUUCUUCAGUGAGAUGAUAACGAAUAAUCAUUAUAGCUCUAUGCCUUUCACUGUCAAUGAUAUCAUUGUACUCAUUGAUGCAUUGUCCGAGUCCUCUGGAUCUCAGGGCAACAAGAGUAUUCUUUAUCCAUUCUAGGUAAUUAUCUCCAGAGAGAUUUAGGGCAGAGUAAUCUGAGGGUUCAAAUCUCGACAUCUGAAUAUUUAACGAGUAAUUCAAGCACUCAGAAUUCUAUAUAAGCAAUAGAAUAAAUCAAUGUAUAUGAUUUCAAUAAGGCUUUCCCCCAAAUCAUAUAAUCUAUUUGCUUAAGCAAUCUUAGUAUGAGAAUGAUCAAUUGAUCAUUGCAUCUAGUAAUCCUUUUAAUUAUAAUUCAAAUUGGAUUGAUUAUAUAUAUAUAUAGGGUAUUAAGGCCCUUUAGAAUUUGAAUAAGGAUCAAUCAUCAUUUUAUUAAAUGAGAUCAAGCAAGAUGAAUGAAAUCAAGCAAAUGCAUGGAUCAAGAAAUAGUUGAAUGCAUGUUCAGAACUAAGCAUUGGACUUAAACAAUCUAUAUGUGAUUCCUAAUGCAUGAGGAUAUUUGGUUUUUAAAGAGCAUAAAAUAAAACGAAUUCCUUCCCCCCUUUACAGGGUAAACAAAGACAAGGAAAAAUUAUAAUUUUCAGGAUAUGUCUAAACCAAAUUCAAUUAGAUUUUCAAUCAAUUUGGUUUCAAGGCAGGUUUAUUAUUUCAAUUAAAGCAAACAUGCUUAGUUUAAACAAUAACCGAUUUAAUCUAAUUAGAUGCAAGCAAUAUGAAUCAAUUAGAUGCAAGCAAUAUGAAUCAAUUAAAUUUUAAUUUAAAUACACCAUGAUCAGAAUAGUCAAUGAUAUGCAAGCAUGCAUGAUCGGUUUUAACAAAAUGACAAUCAGAUGAAUGAAAAAAUGUUGGUUCAAAAUAAUCCAAGUUUGAUCUAAUGAUUUACUAAUCUAAUAGAUGCUAUCAGGUAUGCAUAUAAGGUCAGUAUAUAAUUCAAUCAUCACAAAAUCAGUCUCCAAGGAUGGUUUUAGAUCAAGAUUAAUUUAACAAGCAACUAUGUGAUCAAUGUUCAGUAUAUGAUUUAAUCAUCACAAAAUCCGGUUUUAAGGUUGGUAUUAGAUCAAGAUAAAUUUAUAUCAUUUGUUCAAACUAUAAUGAACCGAUUUCAAGGCCGGUUAAGAUAUAGAUAAAUGUGAUCAAAUGAUAUCAAACCAGAAUUUAUUUUAUCUUAUGACAUAUUAAUUUAAAUCAAGACUAUAUGUUAUAAUAUUUAAAAUACUACCUAGUCAAAGAUAUGCAUUUAUUAAAAUCAAAUAUGCAUUUAUAAAAAUUAAAUAUGCAUUUAAAAAUCAGAAAAGUUUUUAAAAUUUUAUCAGUUACAAAAACAAACAUCAAUGGUCAAAGAUAUGCAUUGAUUAGAAUUUAUUUCGAUUUUAUUUGGUUUGACUGAUUUUCAAAGAAUCUGGCCGAAUAUGGCUCAGGAUGUUUUUGAUUGUUUUGAAUUUUGGAUUUGCUGGUUGGGAAAACCAAGCAAGAAGGAUUUAGGGGAUUGAUAUGUAUAAUGGCCAUCAAGAUACAUAUUUAGAUUUAAGGAUUUUGAUGGUGAGGUUUUUGAUGGUCGGCUUAUUCAUCCUGCUAGAAUAGCUGGUGAUGCGGAUGAUCAAAGGGUUUGAUUAUGGGUUUUGAUCCUUUAGACAAUCCGGAUUUAAGGUCGGAUCAAAUAGGAGAAAAAGGGAGAGCCGAUUUAAAGGCUUAUGAUUUUAUGAUUUUCUCUAAUAUUUUUUAUGAUUCAAAUAGUUCUUAGAAUCAAGAUUCAUAUAGAUCUUUAGAUGAUUAAUAAGUUUUAUAAGUUUUUUUUAUUUUAGAGAUACUUAGAUCUUUAGAGAUUUAUAAGUUUUUAGGAUUCAAAUAAUUUUAGAAUCAAAAUUCAUAUAGAUCUUAGAUUCAAGAUUAAUAUUUGAGAUAAUUUUAGAUCUAUAGAUUUUUAUAAGUUUUAGGAUUCAUAUAGAUCCAUGAUUCAGAUAUAUGAUGUUCUUAGAUCUUUAGGUUUUGAUUAGUUUACCUUUUACACCACAAGGAUUCUGAAUGGACCACCGUGAGAGAGAGGGAGUGAUCCGCGGAUUGAGGUGGUUGAGAGAGAGGUGGAGGAGCUGGCCGGAAAACCGUGAGAGGGAUAGACUUGGCCGGCGGAGCAAGGCUGAGGGCCGGAAGAGAUGGCCGGAAAAGAGAUGAUCGCCGGCGGAUGGGAUUGCUCAGGUGGAGAGAGUCUCGUGAUGAUAACGUGUUAAGAUUUGAGAGAAGAUUUGUGAAAAUGUGUUGUAUAUUUCUUAUUGCUUACACCACUAUAUAUAGUGGUUAAUACAAGGUGGAGUCAAUGGGAAAAUUGAUUACAAAGAUACUCUACAUAAUGACAUGGUCAAACUCAUAAAGACAUAAGGUUGAAUGGGUCUUCCAUGUGGCUGGAUAUAAACCCCCCAUUGAACUCUAGUCUUGAACUUGUAUGGUCUAGGUUAUGGACCAUACACUUGAUUCAUAACAUUUAUUUAUUUUAUUUUUUUGAACACCCAUAAUAUUUAUUUAAUUUUCCAACUUAAAGAAAGAAAAGUAUUUCUUGGCCAAGCACAAGAAUAUGAAACUCUAAAAUGGGUCAACGUGCUUUGUUCGUUGAUUAUUGGCAACUCUUGAUCGAAUAUCCGAAUCCCACAGGAAUCUUUUAUGAUAAUAUUAAAUAAAUUUCUUAGCUGUUGAGGAAAAAAAAAGAAGAAGAAGCAAACCUUAUGCAUCAGCAGUAAACGUUUUGAUGCUUUCUAUAUCUGACAUUUGAGGAAUCAUUUCGAUGUUUUAUGUUAGGCUUGGAAAAUCAGUAACCAAAAAAAAUAUUGUUAGGCUUGGAAAGUUUCAGCCCUUAAACAUCAUUUUGACCCCUAGGAUGAAAGAAAAGUCGAUGAAGAAAAGCAAUGCAAAAGAGCCAAAGACUUAUAAAGUUGUUGUGUCUUUUUUUCGUUGCAAAUAACAAGAAAGACUUUUCUGUGAGAUGGGCAUGUUCCAUACAAGGAAAUUGACCUUUGAUUAACACAUAAAGCAAACGCAUUCAUGCUAUAUAUCCCCGGCCCCUAACCCUUCUUUCUAUAAAGGACAUCUUCAGCAACUAACCUUAUUUUAAGAAUGGAUGAUUUUCAAAAUAAAAGUUUAAGGUUGAGUUAAAUUUCAAAUAUAUCUUUACAUUCUUAUAUUUUAUAUUUUAGUUUUCAACUUUUUAAAAUUAACUAGAAUCGCUAAACUUUUAUAAAUAAGUAUUAUAUACAUAAUAAGAAUGUAAAACAUAAUAUUUAUAACUUAUUUAAUAGAUAUUUUGGUUUCACCAAGUUACCAAAUCCUUAAUUUAUUUAAAAAAAAAAUUACAACUAGAGUGAAAAGUUACGAGAUAGUCCAAUUGGAUGUAUAUAAUAUUUCUAUUUUACAUGAUAUUAUUUUAUAUUAAUAAUUCUGGUUUUAAUUUUAACGUUCUUAUAUCUUAUGUGUAAAAAAUAAUUAUAUACAAAAUAUUUAUCUUAAUAUUUAGGUGAAAUGUGAUUAUAAAGAUUAAAGUGAUACAAAAUUAAUAUUAGGAAUAUUAUGUGGACAAUUCUCCAUAAUAUCCUCUUUUUAGUUUUUGUCUCAAAAAUGGCAUUUGAAAUUAAAAGUCGCGACAAUAACCUUCAUUAACUGUUCAAAAGACUAUAACACCCUCGCUUUAAAUUAAAUAAAAUAACUGAAAAAGAAUCAGAAACAUCUUCGAUCUCUCUCACGGCGACGAACGAAAUGUCAUCAUCUCCAACGAAGAACACUGACAUCAUCUCACGGCGACUCCGAUUUCUUUCCAUCAUCUCCGGCGAAGAACAUUGUCAACAUCUCCGACGAAGCGCAUCGAUUCUCCAACGACGCCAUUUCGCUGAAGAGAACCACUAUUAACCCGAGAAGUUGUUCUGGUAAAGACAAAGCUCUGUUGCGUUUGUUGUCGAGCGAGGGAAUGGUCCUUGGAAGUUGUUGAAGCUCAAAUCAAAGGCUGCUGAAAUGUGGAAACACAAGGUUUUGAGGUAAUGUACCUUUUGAUUUUGUUGUUUUCUAGAUACAAUUGAGCUACAUCUGAAUCAACAUCGUUUUAUGACAUUGUUAGUCUCUUCUUGCUUGGGCUUGUGAAACUAGUGUUUUUUUAAAUUCUAGGAAUGAUUUGGGUAGUUUCUGGAAAGCUUUCCCGACAAUCCGAUGUUAACAAAUUUGAAUUUUUUUUUGCUUGGUGCCUUGUUUGGCUUACACAUAUUGAUAUCUUUGAUAGGCUUGUGAAUUUGUUUAUGACAUUGUUAGUCUCUUGUUGGUUGUGCUUGUGAAACUUUGUGGUUUUUUUUUUGAUUUUAGGAAGGGUUUUUUAAGAUUCAUGAUAUCUUUCCAUAAAAUCCGAUAAAAAUAUUUGGCUUGUUUAUACAGGAUAGUAACACUAUGGGAUAUUCAAUACCUCAUUAGAAUUU